rnacentral:rRNA from 1 species
AUAGGUUAAUGAGGCGAACCGGGGGAACUGAAACAUCUAAGUACCCCGAGGAAAAGAAAUCAACCGAGAUUCCCCCAGUAGCGGCGAGCGAACGGGGAGGAGCCCAGAGCCUGAAUCAGUGUGUGUGUUAGUGGAAGCGUCUGGAAAGGCGUGCGAUACAGGGUGACAGCCCCGUACACAAAAAUGCACAUAUUGUGAGCUCGAUGAGUAGGGCGGGACACGUGGUAUCCUGUCUGAAUAUGGGGGGACCAUCCUCCAAGGCUAAAUACUCCUGACUGACCGAUAGUGAACCAGUACCGUGAGGGAAAGGCGAAAAGAACCCCGGCGAGGGGAGUGAAAAAGAACCUGAAACCGUGUACGUACAAGCAGUGGGAGCCUCUUAAUGGGGUGACUGCGUACCUUUUGUAUAAUGGGUCAGCGACUUAUAUUCUGUAGCAAGGUUAACCGAAUAGGGGAGCCGAAGGGAAACCGAGUCUUAACUGGGCGUUAAGUUGCAGGGUAUAGACCCGAAACCCGGUGAUCUAGCCAUGGGCAGGUUGAAGGU